rnacentral:misc_RNA from 1 species
AACGCACAUUGCGCCCUCUGGUACUCCGGGGGGCAUGCCUGUUCGAGCGUCAUUACAACCCUCAAGCCCCGCUUGGUCUUGGGCGUCGCCGUCCCGGCGCGCCUCAAAAGCAGUGGCGGCCGUCGCCGGCUCCAAGCGCAGUAAUUCUUCUCGCUCUGGAGGACCGGCCGCGCGCCUCGCCAGCAACCCCAACCACCAAGGUUGACCUCAGAUCAGGUAGGGAUACCCGCUGAACUUAA